ACCUUUAUUACAGAGGUGAUAUGAAUGUGGUAAUAGUAGCUUUACUCAAAGAGAAAAUGAAUUACCUUCUUUUUUGAAUACUAAAAACUAGUGUUUUACGACUAGGGAUGGUAUAGGGUGCCCAUAGAUAUUCCAGCAUCAUAAUCAUCACCAUUACCAUCAUAAACACCACCAUUCACCAUCAUAAUUAACACAUAUUUAUACUUUAACGGGCUUCCAUUUAGCUAAAUGGGUACUCGUUGGUCAUCUCUUAUUUAUGACUAAUCUUGCUUGCAUGUGUAAUGAUAGGAAGACCAUAUUUUAAAACCACAUUGGUGUAUCAUUUCAUAUGACAGGUAAUGCACACAACCAACACUCAUUCAAAUGGAUUCAUUAAUUGACAUGCCGUAUACAUCACUUGUCAGGUCAAAUAGUACACCAAUGUGGUACAAAAAUGCAAUCUCCUAACACUUUUCUUUUUGCAUAUGAUUUUAGACCUAAUUAGCUAGCACACAAUGUAAAUGAUUUAACGUUUGUGUACAUGUAACACAGAUUUAUCAUGAUAUUUAAAUACCAGCAUGAUUUAUUCCACAAAACAUUAUAACAUCCCUUUCAAAAUGAAAUCUCCAUUAAAAUUAUAUUACAUAGUGUUCUUCUCCAAGUAAAUAUUAAAAUGAAGCCUAUCAAUUAUUUAAUUUUUCUUCCCUCAUGCUCAUUAGACAAUAGACACCUAACUAAUGCGAUGUUGACUUUGACAAGGUGGCAUUUGGGAUUUGAAGCAUUGGCGG
rnacentral:lncRNA from 1 species